rnacentral:rRNA from 1 species
GACGAACGCUGGCGGCGUGCUUAAUACAUGCAAGUCGAACGCAGUGGGGACGGGAGAGUAACACGUGGGUAACCUUCCAUCAGAGGGGAUAACACUUGGAAACAGGUGCUAAAUCGACAAUGAUGGAUGGACCCGCGGUGCAUUAGCUAGUUGGUGAGGUAACGGCGCACCAAGGCCACGAUGCAUAGCCGACCUGAGAGGGGUAUCGGCCACCCUGUUACUGAGACACGGCCCAGACGCCUACGGGAGGCAGCAGUAGGGAAGCUGCGGCAAUGGACGAAAGGCUGACCGAGCAACGCCGCGUGAGUGAAGAAGGUUUUCGGGUCGUAGAACUCUGUUGUUAGAUAAGCGGUAUCUAACCAGAAAGCCACGGCUAACUACGUGCCAGCAGCCGCGGUAAUUC